GAAAAGUAUCCUUGAAGCACAAUUAAACUAUCCUUCGUUUUCCAUAUUUGGACUUGGAUCAACUCCUCAGACAUAUACCAGAACUGUAACCAAUGUUGGUGAUGCUACAUCAUCUUACAAAGUGGAGGUAGCUUCACCAGAAGGCGUUGCCAUCGAAGUUGAACCCUCCGAGCUAAAUUUCUCCGAGUUGAACCAGAAGUUGACAUACCAAGUGACAUUUUCCAAGACAACUAAUAGCUCAAACCCUGAGGUUAUUGAGGGAUUCUUGAAGUGGA
rnacentral:misc_RNA from 1 species